rnacentral:tRNA from 1 species
GUCCCGUUAGCUCAGCAGGUAGAGCAUUUGACUUUUAAUCAAAGGGUCCCGAGUUCGAAUCUCGGGCGGGACACCA